rnacentral:rRNA from 1 species
UCCAGAGGGGGCAAGCGUUGUUCGGAAUUACUGGGCGUAAAGGGCGCGUAGGCGGCCAACUAAGUCGGACGUGAAAUCCCCGGGCUCAACCCGGGAACUGCGUCCGAUACUGGAUGGCUUGAAUCCGGGAGAGGGAUGUGGAAUUCCAGGUGUAGCGGUGAAAUGCGCAGAUAUCAGGAGGAACACCGGUGGCGAAGGCGGGUCUCUGGGUAGUAACUGACGCUGAGGAACGAAAGCGUGGGUAGCGAACAGG